UACAGAGGAUGCAAGCGUUAUCCGGAAUGAUUGGGCGUAAAGCGUCUGUAGGUGGCUUUUUAAGUCCGCCGUCAAAUCCCAGGGCUCAACUCUGGACAGGCGGUGGAAACUACCAAGCUGGAGUACGGUAGGGGCAGAGGGAAUUUCCGGUGGAGCGGUGAAAUGCGCAGAUAUCAGGAGGAACACCGGUGGCGAAGGCGGUUCUCUGGGCAUUACCUGACGCUGAGGAGCGAAAGUGUGGGGAGCGAACAGG
rnacentral:rRNA from 1 species